CCUACGGGAGGCAGCAGUGAGGAAUCUUGGACAAUGGGCGCAAGCCUGAUCCAGCCAUGCCGCGUGAGUGAUGAAGGCCUUAGGGUUGUAAAGCUCUUUUGCCGGGGAUGAUAAUGACCGUACCCGGAGAAUAAGCCACGGCUAAAUUCGUGCCAGCAGCCGCGGUAAU
rnacentral:rRNA from 1 species